rnacentral:rRNA from 1 species
GAUGAACGCUGGCGGUAUGCUUUACACAUGCAAGUCGUACGAGAGUUUUGAACUCAAGUGGCGGACGGGUGAGUAACACGUAAGAAUUUACCUUUAGGAGGGGGACAACAACUGGAAACGGUUGCUAAUACCCCAUAUGCUUUCGAGUGAAAUGGAUUUCCGCCUAAAGAGAAGCUUGCGGCUGAUUAGCUUGUUGGUAAGGUAAUGGCUUACCAAGGCGACGAUCAGUAUCUGGUUUGAGAGGACGAUCAGACACACUGGAACUGAGACACGGUCCAGACUCCUACGGGAGGCAGCAGUGGGGAAUUUUCCGCAAUGGGCGAAAGCCUGACGGAGCAAUACCGCGUGAGGGAUGACGGCCUAUGGGUUGUAAACCUCUUUUUUCAGGGAGGAACAAAAUGACGUGUACCUGAAGAAUAAGCAUCGGCUAACUCCGUGCCAGCAGCCGCGGUAAAAC